rnacentral:rRNA from 1 species
AGCUAUGGCCGCGUGGCGCAUUGGUACACUCGAUCUCGAAAGUUAAGCAACGUGCAGUCUGGACAGUACUUGGAUGGGGGACCAACCAAGGGCGUCUGGAUUGCUGUAGCCU